CCUACGGGUGGCAGCAGUGAGGAAUAUUGGUCAAUGGGCGCUAGCCUGAACCAGCCAAGUAGCGUGAAGGAUGACGGCCCUAUGGGUUGUAAACUUCUUUUGUAUGGGAGUAAAGUGCAGUAUGUAUACUGCUUUGCAUGUACCUUAUGAAUAAGGAUCGGCUAACUCCGUGCCAGCAGCCGCGGUAAUACGGAGGAUUCGCGCGUUAUCCGGAUUUAUUGGGUUUAAAGGGGGCGUAGGCGGGUGGUUAAGUCAGUUGUGAAAGUUUGGGGCUCAACCGUAAAAUUGCAGGUGAAACUGGCAUCCUUGAGUACAGUAGAGGUAGGCGGAAUGCGUGGUGUAGCGGUGAAAUGCAUAGAUAUCACGAAGAACUCCGAUUGCGAAGGCAGCAUGCUGGACUGUAACUGACGCUGAUGCUCGAAAGUGUGGGUAUCAAACAGGAUUAGAUACCCUGGUAGUC
rnacentral:rRNA from 1 species